rnacentral:rRNA from 1 species
AACGUAGGUGGCAAGCGUUAUCCGGAUUCACUGGGGUUAAAGGGUGCGUAGGAGGGCAGGUAAGUCAGUGGUGAAAUCUCCGAGCUUAACUUGGAAACUGCCGUUGAUACUAUCUGCCUUGAAUAUUGUGGAGGUGAGCGGAAUAUGUCAUGUAGCGGUGAAAUGCUUAGAUAUGACAUAGAACACCAAUUGCGAAGGCAGCUCGCUACACAUAUAUUGACUCUGAGGCACGAAAGCGUGGGGAUCAAACAGG